rnacentral:rRNA from 1 species
UACGGGGGAGCAAGCGUUGUUCGGAUUUACUGGGCGUAAAGGGCGCGUAGGCGGCCUCUGCAAGUCGACUGUGAAAUCUCCGGGCUUAACCCGGAAAGGUCAGCCGAUACUGCAGGCUAGAGUGCAGAAGGGGCAACUGGAAUUCUCGGUGUAGCGGUGAAAUGCGUAGAUAUCGAGAGGAACACCUGCGGCGAAGGCGGGUUGCUGGGCUGACACUGACGCUGAAGCGCGAAAGCGUGGGAGCAACAGG